rnacentral:tRNA from 1 species
GCGGGGGUAGCAAAGUUCGGCCAAAUGCGGCGGACUUAAGAUCCGCUCUCCUAGCGAGUUCGUGGGUUCAAAUCCCUCCCCCCGCA